rnacentral:rRNA from 1 species
GACGGAGGAUGCAAGUGUUAUCCGGAAUCACUGGGCGUAAAGCGUCUGUAGGUGGUUUGAUAAGUCAACUGUUAAAUCUUGAGGCUUAACCUCAAAAUCGCAGUCGAAACUAUUAGACUAGAGUAUAGUAGGGGUAAAGGGAAUUUCCAGUGGAGCGGUGAAAUGCGUAGAUAUUGGAAAGAACACCGAUGGCGAAGGCACUUUACUGGGCUAUUACUAACACUGAGAGACGAAAGCUAGGGUAGCAAAU